rnacentral:rRNA from 1 species
AUCACUAAGCGGAGGAAAAGAAACUAACAAGGAUUCCCCUAGUAACGGCGAGUGAAGCGGGAAGAGCCCAGCACCGAAUCCCCUGCGUUUGCGUAGCGGGACCUGUGGUGUUUGGGAGAGCCUCUGAGGCGUUCGACGGUCGUCCGAGUCCUCCUGAUCGGGGCUUCACCCAGAGCGGGUGUAAGGCCCAUACGACUUCCGUCUUCGUCUCUCUGUGCCUCCCUGGAGUCGGGUUGUUUGUGAAUGCAGCCCAAAGUGGGUGGUAAACUCCAUCUAAGGCUAAAUACUGGCACGAGUCCGAUAGCGGACAAGUACCGUGAGGGAAAGUU